UACGGGGGGAGCAAGCGUUGUUCGGAUUUACUGGGCGCAAAGGGCGCGUAGGCGGCGUGACAAGUCACUUGUGAAAUCUCCGGGCUUAACUCGGAACGGUCAAGUGAUACUGUCGUGCUAGAGUGCGGAAGGGGCAACUGGAAUUCUUGGUGUAGCGGUGAAAUGCGUAGAUAUCAAGAGGAACACCUGCGGCGAAGGCGGGUUGCUGGGCCGACACUGACGCUGAGGCGCGAAAGCUAGGGGAGCGAACGGG
rnacentral:rRNA from 1 species